rnacentral:pre_miRNA from 1 species
AGACAGUGUUUUAUUGCUCACAGUGUUGCGUAAAGUACGUCUAAAAACUACUUGGAAGUAUAAAGUAAAUGAGAGGUUAUGUACUUUACGCAACACUGUAAGCAAUCAAACACUGU